GUAAUGGAAAAUGUGCAGUUUAGCUAUCCUUAGAAUCAUGCAUCAGUUUUGUUUUUUUGGUUGUUGUUUUUUUUUUUGCCAUCCAUAAAUAUCCCCUGACAUUCCAAAUGUCCAUCCUCAUAAAUCUGCAGAGCAAAAGAAUUGGAAUGAAAGGUCACUGUUUGGUCUGGGUCAGAAUUCACAGCUUGAAACUAUGAGGUGGCCAUAUUUUGGACCGCAUCUUCUCUAAACUGCUGUCGUCUCCACGUGACCAGGCAACCUCUGUGGAGAUGUUGGCAGGGCCACAUCAGUUUAUGGGCAGCAGCCACUUCUCUUUUUUGUUGUUGCUGUUGUUGUUGUUGUUGUUCGCCCAGGCCAGUGGCAAAGUGCGCGCUCCUGGAAGGCCCACUUCCUGUGUGCUUGAAUGGCUUGCCAGCUGAGCCUUUUAACAAGAUAAUGAUCGUCUGAGUCACCUCACCAUCUAUUCCUGGCCUCCCCAGGACCGAGGGCCCUCUGCUUCUAGAACUGGACAUCCAGUCACGGGCCAUCGCAAAAGGAACAUAAAAGGAACAGAAAUAGAUUUUCACGAGAAUGAAUCAGAAUGAACACGUGAAUGUGCGAUAAGGGUAUUGCUCUAAGAAGGUAUUGCACAUCCGCACAUGCAGAGAGAGGCUGACGGCACAGUAAGACUGUGCUGUUUGUGUGUGUAUGACAUUUUAUCCUUAUUUUUUUUCAAGGGUCCAGUCUUCAUUUGGCCUACGGGUUCCCUUAUCUGGGGCUGACAAAACACCUGGUCACAGCAUCACAGAAGUGCGCCGUGGUUUGGCUGCUGCUGCUCCCUGGUCAGAGUCACGUCCCCCAGCCGAGGGACAGUGGGAAUGUGGUGAGUCUGGUUGAGACCAGCUCAUAAAGCUCUGCACCCUGGCACUGGCCCUCUUCCCCUGCAGACAGGGAACCAGAGACUGAGAGGGAAGCCACACAAGCACACUCUGUCAGAGGGGUUUCUGUUGGACCGUUUUUUAUGAUAGUCAUCUCUACACACAGACACACACACACACACACACACACGCAUGCACACACAC
rnacentral:lncRNA from 1 species